rfam:Melipona quadrifasciata isolate 0111107301 unplaced genomic scaffold scaffold240, whole genome shotgun sequence.
GCUGCGGUGUCCGAGCGGUUAAGGAGAUGGACUUGAAAUCCAUUGGGUGCUACCCGCGCAGGUUCGAAUCCUGUCCGCAGCG